UGUCUCUGGAAGGUAAAGGACAGCUGUGGGUCAUCAUUGUGUUCAGUCAUGUGACGAUCAGAACUAAGUGAUUCAAUUAUUUAUGGAACUGAACAGCAUUUUCAUCAACUAGAAUAUUUCAGUGUUCUGACUUAAAAGAUUACAAACUAUAGCUGCUUUGCAUUUGCUUUAGUUUCUAUGCAAGUUGGAAAGAAUAAAAUAAAUCAUAUUCAAUGCCCUCAUUAACACUCCAGCCAGGGCUUUGGUUUAAACCGGGCGUCACAAGAAUACCCCCCCCCCAAUUGCUCAACUACCACCACUGUUUACACAGACCAGGAGUCCUUGCCUGAGGAGAGCUGAUGGAGGAGCCGUGCACCUGGAGAACCAUGAGUCUGCCUGCCAACAAGUAGUACUGGUAUGUUUGCAUGAACUAAACAUGACUUGUACUGGGAAACAACAGUUUACUACCAGACAUUAUAGCAAACUACCACUGAUGUCAGACCAUCAAACUACCACUUUGAUUGUGCCCAGACAUUGAGGCCAAACGGCCCCGUUUGUCCCCAAACAGGAAGGCGGGGCACAGGGAGGUGAUGGAGGACCUGCCUGGUGAAGGACGUCAGGGUGGGGCGAGUGACACCCGACUCCAAGGGGAUAUCCACUGAGGAGAGAGCUGAAGGAGCCAUGCAUCUGGAAGGUGCAGUUGAAAUGCUGUGUCCAGUCUGGGACAGACAGACCUGAGCUGCAUCAAACCUGUAUCUCUGACCAGCUGGAGGCCUUUAGUGAUCAACAACCGCCACUCAUCGCUGGCCUGUGGAUUCAUCUACUCCACACUCACACAACCUGACUUUGGCCUGUGGAUUCAUCUCCUCCACACUCGCGCAACGUGACCUUCUCACCAUCUGUUGCAUGUUUGGAUGCACCUAGCGUGUUCCAUCGAGGGUUCCUUCCUCCCCACGGUGGGAGGGUUCCUUGUCCUUCAAGGCGUCGGGGUUCAGUGUUAGGGACAGAGUUAGGGACAGAUGGCUGCGCUGGAUUCACGAUAUACGCUUUGUGAUCAAAAUGGGUUCGGACAUCGGACAAAACGCUUCCCAAAAUGUUUCAAUGUGCAAACGAUUUUAUAAAAUGUAUACUCAUGGUGUUUAUAUAAAAUCGUAUAUAACAAA